AUGGUUUCGGUUUCCUCCUCUCCGCCUCGUCGGAUCGUUGUGCCUGCACCAACCUGCCCAGCUCCAUGGUUAUUUCCCUGGGAGGAUUUCCUGCUCUCACGCGGUCCUCAGUCUCCAGUUCAGCCGCGCGCUGCUCAGUCGCCAGUUCAGCCGCGCGCUGCUCAGUCUCCAAGUCAGCCGCGCGCUGCUCAGUCUCCAGUUCAGCCGCGCGCUGCUCAGUCUCCAGUUCAGCCGCGCGCUGCUCAGUCUCCAGUUCAGCCGCGCGCUGCUCAGUCUCCAGUUCAGUCGUGUUUUCCCCAGUCUCCAGCCCAAGCUCCAGACGCCGCGGUCCCGGUUCACCAUGCGGGUCCCGGUACAGAGGUCCGGUCCACACCGCUCCCAGCGCCCCAAACGACGGACAGUCGCAGCUGCUCCGGACGGCGCCGGCGGCGGCGCGGUUCCAGGAUUCCGGGUCCCGCGGUCUCGGUCAUGGGGACCGAGCAGUCUCCUUCUCCGACAGAGGAGCCCCUUGAUUCUCUAACUGACUGUGUCUCUCUGAUAGCGGGCAUCCCAGACAGCGUCGCCCGACGGGUCCACCUCCUCUGCUCUCCUCCGGUGGCGUUUCUCUUCGCCCACCUCAUGAACACCGCCGAUUCGGCAGCAGACCAGGGCGCGAGAGAACAACUGUUCCAGGAAGCAGCCGCUCUCGUCCUGAGGGAGCCUGUCCUGCGUGAGGUCCUGCAACUCCCGGGCCUGCAGCCAGCGGCCGCUUCAUGUCCCACCUCUCAGUCAGGUCAGCCUCGCCAUGCUCAUGCCCUGGUGCAGCCCUGUCGCCUCCAGGUCCCAGCCCAGUCGAACCUAGUCCAGACCCCAGAUCAGCCGUGUGUCACCCAGACCCCAGAUCAGCCGUGUGUCGCCCAGACCCCAGAUCAGCCGUGUGUCGCCCAGACCCCAGAUCAGCCGUGUGUCGCCCAGACCCCAGAUCAGCCGUGUGUCGCCCAGACCCCAGAUCAGCCGUGUGUCGCCCAGACCCCAGAUCAGCCGUGUGUCGCCCAGACCCCAGAUCAGCCGUGUGUCGCCCAGACCCCAGAUCAGCCGUGUGUUGCCCAGACCCCAGUUCCGUCCUUGUCCCCGUCAGAGGGCACCGCCCGUCUGACGAUUGUUAACCCCACCCAAUCAGGCCCGACGUCUUCCCCGUCGAGCUCGGCAGCUGUAAGCUGUCAUGCCAGCUCCGGAGUUGACGCCGUUCCAGUCCCUGUCGGCCAUGUUGCGGCCGUUCCAGCUCCUGUCGGCCAUGUUGCGGCCGUUCUAGUUCCUGUCGGCUCCUCAGAGGAGGACGCCGUUCCUGUUCCCGUCGGCCAUGUUGAGGCCGUUCUAGUUCCAGUUCCUGUCGGCUCCUCAGAGGAGGACGCCGUUCUAGUUCCUGUCGGCCAUGUUGAGGUCGUUCCUGUUCCUGUCGGCCCUGUAGAGGCCGUUCCUGUUCCUGUCGGCCCUGUAGAGGCCGUUCCAGUUCCUGUCGGCCCUGUAGAGGCCGUUCCAGUUCCUGUCGGCCAUGUUGAGGUCGUUCCAGUUCCUGUCGGCCAUGUUGAGGUCGUUCCAGUUUCUGUCGGCCAUGUUGAGGUCGUUCCAGUUUCUGUCGGCCAUGUUGAGGUCGUUCCAGUUCCUGUCGGCCAUGUUGAGGUCGUUCCAGUUCCUGUCGGCCAUGUUGAGGUCGUUCCAGUUCCUGUUCCUGUCGGCCAUGUCGAGGUCGUUCCUGUCCCUGUCGGCCAUGUCGAGGUCGUUCCAGUUCCUGUCCCUGUCGGCCAUGUCGAGGUCGUUCCAGUUCCUGUCCCUGUCGGCCAUGUCGAGGUCGUUCCAGUUCCUGUCCCUGUCGGCCAUGUCGAGGUCGUUCCAGUUCCUGUCCCUGUCGACCAUGUCGAGGUCGUUCCAGUUCCUGUCCCUGUCGACCAAAUUGAGGUCGUUCCAGUUCCUGUUCCCGUAGGCCAAGUUGAGGGCGUUCCCGUAGGCCAAGUUGAGGGCGUUCCCGUAGGCCAAGUUGAGGGCGUUCCCGUAGGCCAAGUUGAGGGCGUUCCCGUAGGCCAAGUUGAGGGCGUUCCCGUAGGCCAAGUUGAGGGCGUUCCCGUAGGCCAAGUAGAGGUCACCCCUGUCUCUGACCCCGUUCCUGCCGACCCUGUAGCGGUCGUUCCAGUCCCCGUUCCUGCCGGCCCUGUAGCGGUCGUUCCAGUCCCCGUUCCUGUCGGCCCUGUAGCGGUCGUUCCAGUCCCCGUUCCUGUCGACCCUGUAGCGGUCGUUCCAGUCCCCGUUCCUGUCGACCCUGUAGCGGUCGUUCCAGUCCCCGUUCCUGUCGACCCUGUAGCGGUCGUUCCAGUCCCCGUUCCUGUCGACCCUGUAGCGGUCGUUCCAGUCCCCGUUCCUGUCGACCCUGUAGCGGUCGUUCCAGUCCCCGUUCCUGUCGGCCCUGUAGCGGUCGUUCCAGUCCCCGUCACCCGUGGAGCCGUAGCGCCCGCCGGCCCCCAGGAGGAGGUCGCGCCAGCCGCAGUUCCUGCGCGCCUCCAGGAGGAGGUCGCAGCCAAGCCGCAGUUCCUGCGCGCCUCC
ensembl:lncRNA